UACGAAGGGGGCUAGCGUUGCUCGGAAUUACUGGGCGUAAAGCGCACGUAGGCGGCUUCUUAAGUCGGUGGUGAAAUCCUGGAGCUCAACUCCAGAACUGCCUUCGAUACUGGGGAGCUCGAGUCCGGGAGAGGUGAGUGGAACUGCGAGUGUAGAGGUGAAAUUCGUAGAUAUUCGGAGGAACACCAGUGGCGAAGGCGGCUCACUGGUCCAUUACUGACGCUGAGGUGCGAAAGCGUGGGGAGCAAACAGG
rnacentral:rRNA from 1 species